rnacentral:rRNA from 1 species
GAUCAUGGCUCAGGAUGAACGCUGGCGGCGUGCUUAACACAUGCAAGUCGAACGGAGUGCCCUUGAUUGAGGAUUCGUCCAAAUGAUAGGGUUACUUAGUGGCGGACGGGUGAGUAACGCGUGAGUAACCUGCCUAGGAGUGGGGAAUAACACAGAGAAAUCUGUGCUAAUACCGCAUAAUGCAGUUGGGUCGCAUGGCUCUGACUGCCAAAGAUUUAUCGCUCUUAG